GGGAGCGUCCGGGUUCCUGGUGGGCUCCGCGGUCUUCAAAGCCGUCGAGGCGCUGCAUCGCAGUGCCUGGUGGGUUCGAUUCCCAUCCGCUCCCG
rnacentral:tRNA from 1 species